CACAAAAUAAAAUAAUACAAGCUUUAUAUUACAAGCCAGGGGCCUCGAGGGCUCGAAUACAUAAGCUGGAAUGCACAAGAGUCAGCGGAAGCAGUAAUAUCUGAGUACAGACAUAAGUUAAACAAGUUUGCCUUAAGAAGGCUAGCACGAAAGUAGAACGAUCAAAAAGGCAAGGCCUCCUGCCUGGGACCUCCUAACUACUCCUCGACGCCGAACUCCACAUAGAAACAUCCUCGAGAUCCUCUCGCUCCUGGGCUCCAUCAUCUGGUCGCAACAACCGGGUAUAGAAAGGGAAAAAGGGGGAGCAAAGCAACCGUGAGUACUCAUCCAAAGUAUAUGUGGACUGAACUGCAGAAUGCCAGAAUAAGAGGGGGAUAGCUAGUCCUAUCGAAGACUACGCUUCUAGCAGCCUCCAUCUUGCAGCAUGUAGAAGAGAGUAGAUGGUAAUUUCACCAAGUAUCAUCGCAUAGCAUAAUCCUACCCGGCGAUCCUCCCCUCGUCGCCCUGUUAGAGAGCGACCAUCGGGUUGUAUCUGGACCUUGGAAGGGUGUGUUUUAUUAAGUAUCAUGUUCUAGUUGUCAUAAGGUCAAGGUACAACUCCGGGUCGUCCUUUUACCGAGGGACACGGCUAUUCGAAUAGAUAAACUUCCCUGUAGGGGUGCACCACAUUUCCCAACACGCCCGAUUCCCCUUGGCCAGACACACUUUCCUGGGUCAUGCCCGGCCUCGGAAGAUCAACAUGUCGCAGCCCUACCUAGGCACAACAGAAAGGUCAGCACGCCGUCUAAAUCCUAUGGCGCAGGGGUCUGGGCCCAUCGCCCGUUGCACACCUGCAUGUUGUGAACGCGACUAGUAAGCAGACCUAGCCUCCCUAAUACAAAAGUAGGCGUUCCAGUCCAAUCCGGCGCGCGCCGCUCAGUCGCUGAUGUCAAGAAGGCUUCGGCUGAUACCACAACGUCGAGUGCCCAUAACUAUUCCCGCGUAGUUGGUUAGUGCGUAUAGGCCAACGGCCAGACUCAGAUCAAAUACGAAGAUCUCGUUAAGCGUGUUAUUUUGAUGUAACCGCGGAUGCCGACCAGGGCCAGGCCCACCUCUCUCCUAGGUGAUCUCAACCUACCUUGUCGCUCCGCCACAAAGUAACAGUCGGGGGCCAUCGGGAACCCAGGCCCACCACUACCGGGAUGGAAUCACCUGUCCUUUCAGCCCCCACAUCAAAAUCACUUGCGGGUACUCUACGAGCCGACCCGACUUUAGUCACAUCAUGUAAUCUACAUAAUAUGUAUGUAUGUGUAAAUCCGUGAUCACCUCCCGAAUGAUCACGGCCCAAUAGUAUAGUAUGGCAUACGGACAAGAAUGUAGGGCCACUGAUGAAAUACUAGCAUCCUAUACUAAGCAUUUAGGAUUGCAGGCAAGGUAUCAACAAUUGUAGCAACAAUGACAUGCUAUGCAACAUAAUAGGAUUAACCGGAAACAGUAACAUGUUACACUACUCUAAUGCAAGAAGUAGAGAGAAGGAAUAGGCGAUAUCUGCUGAUCAAGGGAGGGUUUGCCUGGAAACUCUGUUGCACAAGAAGAAGGGUCGUCGGUGACUUAGUCGUACUCAGUCACACCAACGCAGGUCUCGGGGUCUACCGGAGAAGAAGAGGGGGAAGAAACAAUAAAUACAAAGCAAACAAAUGCAUCACAAAGCAUAACUAUGACAAUACGCGAUCUUAGGGAUGACCUAACGCGGUGCUACACGUUACAGACGAAGCGGGAAAAUAUCUGUGGAUAUUUCCCGGGCUUUGGGCAUUUACCGAACGGACGAUCCGAAGAGGGACGUUCCAUGUUUGUUGUGUUGGAGGCAUGUGACGGAUGAACGUGAAGCACAUUCGGACUCGUCUUAUUUUUCUGUUCAUUUUUCAUAUAUAAAACUUUUUCAUCCGAGCUACGGUUAUUUUUGUAUGAAUUUCCAAAGUUUUAUCAAUGUUCUAGAAUUUUGUGUUUCAUUUAAAUCCGAAUUGACCAAGUCAAUGUGACUAGUCAAAAGGAGAGGUGGUGGCCCAUAUGACACUGAUUUAAUAAUUUCUAAAAUAUUUAUCUAAUCUAUUUAGAUGGAACCCACUUGUCAUUUUCUAAAAGGGCUAGUUAGCACUAAACUAAUCCUAAACUAAACAUAGCCUAAUUAACAAGGGCCGACCAUUACUGGACAGAGUCCAGCCGGCCACACACCACACCUCACACACGCACGCUGUACACACAACACAACACAACACACAUACAUACACAACACACGCACACACAGUGCUAGGGGUUAAUUAUGUUCUCUAUUUAGAAAAGAUAGCAUUUUGUGAUUUUUAUAGAAAUUAAUCCAUGCAUCAAAUUGAUUUGGUCCAAUGGAAACAUUUGAGCUUUGACAAGUAUACUACCUACAAAUAUUAUUCUUACUCCCGUUAACAGUUGUUUAGCCGCAGUUUAGGGGCUGCCCAGAGGGUUACUCAGUGUAAUAUUCAUAAAGCGAACCAUUCUAGAGUAACUAGCAGCAGUAUAAGCAGAGCGGUGGGCAUUGGCGUGGCGCAGGCUCGACUGGGGAAGGCGAGGCAGGCACGGGUGAGCGCAGGGCGCGGCCGACGUGGCUAGCGGAAGCUGGGGUAGCGAGCGUCAGCAGAGCAGCGGUAGCACACGGCAACGGCGACGUGCAGCGCGGCACGGCGGCGUGCGACAGCGGCGCAUGCAGUGCGCGGAGCAGAGCAGGUGCGGCAGCGGCGGUCGGAGGCGGUUGCGGACUCAACGACGACAAAUUGAAGGAUGCAAAGGAGGGAUCCGGGAGAGGAGCUCACAGCGAGCUCGGGGGCGCGGUCGAGGAGGCCGAGGUGGACUGGAGCUGUCGGAAUCGACGACGACGGCCGGAGAUGUACGUGACGGGGACGAUGACGAUGGCGGGCGUACAGAGCCUCCCCGGUCCAACCCAACAGCGUAGAUGAAGGAGGGGAUGGUGGUGAAGCCCCUGGACGUCCCAGCUCAACGCGGGGAUGACGACGGCCGCGAGGACGACAAAGCCGUGGCAACGGCUGCGACUGCGAUCGCUGCGGAGAUGAGGACGGACGAGGGAUAGGAGAAAUGGAUCUGGGGGCAGCUAGGGAGGGGAUUAGGGUUUGGGGAAGGGGUGCCAGGGUCUU
rnacentral:lncRNA from 1 species